AGAAUCUUGCACAAUGGGCGAAAGCCUGAUGCAGCCAUGCCGCGUGAGCGAAGAAGGCCCUCGGGUCGUAACGCUCUGUCAGAAGGGAAGAUAAUGACGGUACCUUCAACGGAAGCAACGGCUAAUUACGUGCCAGCAGCCGCGGUAAUACGUAAGUUGCGAACGUUAUCCGGAAUCACUGGGCGUAAAGCGUUCGUAGGCGGCAUGGCAAGUAGGAUUUGAAAGCCCGGGGCUCAACUCCGGAUCCGGAUCCUAAACUGCCAAGCUAGAACAGAUCAGAGGACAGAGGAAUUCCCGGUGUAGCGGUAAUAUGCACAGAUAUCGGGAGGAACACCAGUGGCGAAGGCGACUGUCUGGGGUCUUGUUGACGCUGAGGAACGAAAGCUAGGGUAGCGAAC
rnacentral:rRNA from 1 species